AGAUUUAUAAAGUACUAUGAUAGUCUAACUGAAGAAGAGACAUACAAGCGUGAGGAGAUGGAGGACUCAUGAGCCAGAGUUACAUACCUACUUUGUACAUGGAGAUUUAUGGGAGUCUUUCAAGGACUGGAGUGCGUACGGUGCAUGGGUCACAAAAUGGGAGUGACUCUGUUAUGUACUAUGUUCCUUAUUUGUCUGCUAUUCAGCUCUAUGUAGACCCAUCAAAGCCCUCCACAAGAAUAAGGUCAACAAUAUUGUAAACACAAGACUUUCAAUCAAUUCAGUCUGUGAUUUUUCUGCUUAAGCACUCUGGAUUAUAGUUUAUGUUUGCAGCUGCUAACUCUGGUGCAAUGUUCAUUCCUUAAUGUUUCUGUUCAUCC